AUUGAACGCUGGCGGCAGGCCUAACACACGCAAGUCGAGCGGGGUUUUCGGACCUAGCGGCGGACGGGUGAGUAAUGCGUAGGAAGCUACCCGAUAGAGGGGGAUACCAGUUGGAAACGACUGUUAAUACCGCAUAAUGUCUACGGACCAAAGUGUGGGACCUUCGGGCCACAUGCUAUCGGAUGCGCCUACGUGGGAUUAGCUAGUUGGUGAGGUAAUGGCUCACCAAGGCGACGAUCUCUAGCUGGUUUGAGAUGAUGAUCAGCCACACUGGAACUGAGAAACGGUACAGACUCCUACGGGAGGCAGCAGUGGGGAAUAUUGGACAAUGGGCGCAAGCCUGAUCCAGCCAUGCCGCGUGUGUGAAGAAGGCCUUCGGGUUGUAAAGCACUUUCAGCGAGGAGGAAGGGUUGUGUGUUAAUAGUACACAGCCUUGACGUUACUCGCAGAAGAAGCACCGGCUAACUCUGUGCCAGCCGCCGCCGUAA
rnacentral:rRNA from 1 species